rnacentral:rRNA from 1 species
AUUGAACGCUGGCGGAAUGCUUUACACAUGCAAGUCGAACGGCAGCAUAGGUGCUUGCACCUGAUGGCGAGUGGCGAACGGGUGAGUAAUACAUCGGAACGUGCCCAGUCGUGGGGGAUAACGUAGCGAAAGUUACGCUAAUACCGCAUACGAUCUACGGAUGAAAGCGGGGGACCGUAAGGCCUCGCGCGAUUGGAGCGGCCGAUGUUAGAUUAGGUAGUUGGUGGGGUAAAGGCUCACCAAGCCGACGAUCUAUAGCUGGUCUGAGAGGAUGAUCAGCCACACUGGGACUGAGACACGGCCCAGACUCCUACGGGAGGCAGCAGUGGGGAAUUUUGGACAAUGGGCGCAAGCCUGAUCCAGCCAUUCCGCGUGCAGGACGAAGGCCUUCGGGUUGUAAACUGCUUUUGUACAGAACGAAAAGCUCUGAGUUAAUACCUCGGGGUCAUGACGGUACUGUAAGAAUAAGCACCGGCUAACUACGUGA